rnacentral:lncRNA from 1 species
ACCAACCUAAACUUUCUUUAAAUUAACAAGAUUCAUAUGUAUUAAAUCUAGUGGAUAAAGGGUAAAAUCAACAUAACCACACCAAGCAGCAGAGGGUGAGCUCAAACAUGCAUCCGUUGAGAACAUUGUCUUCAGCUGUAACAAUGACCAAUGCUAAGGUCUAUAUUUUUGCAUUUCCUUUAAAUUCAGCAAAUAAGUAAGUACACCAAACACAACAUUACAUAGGUAUGAGAUUGAACAAGAAAAUAUAGAUAGGAAAGGGGAUCGACCUUAAACAGGAUUUGGAAUUCAAAACUCGGUUGUUUUGAAGCUCACAGCAAUAAGAUCAUGAAUGAAAACUCGUAGACAACAGACUGAUACCUCGACGAACAACCUCACCUCCGACAGUACCUCAAUCACGAUUUCAAAACAGAUUAAAUGGACAAUAUGUGAAAUAAUCCAAGCGAAGCUUGAAACCAGAUUCAUGUUCCUCUCAUGCUCACAAAAGCUCGACUAGUUUGCUGAUGUCCCUCGCUCGUUCUAUGCAUAUAUGUGGUUGUGUCUGAGUGUUUUCUGACAAGUUAUGGUAAAGAGAAGGAGGAGUAGCGACGGUGGGAAUGAGGAUCAAUGGGCGACCGUUUGUUGUUCUACAGCCUAGGGGUUUUUUACUUUUUAGCCCUGGUUGUUUUCUUCUGAAGAAGAUGAUGGCUCAAGGGAAAGGGGGUCUCGAAGAAGAUGGGGUUUCAGGGGGUGGGGUCUCCUCAGGUCCUCAGCUGCGCUCAUCUCU